CACCAUACUCACAGUUUCAGGGCUUGUACCUGCCAUAGAUAGCAUUGAGUCACUUCAAGCAAGCGAUGCACUUGUUGGUCAUUUUGGUGUAUCAUUUGUUGCAAAAUAUUUGGAGGAGGUGUUGCACUUUAAGCCCAGAAACAUGAAAAAUUAUUCCUCGCCUGAAGAUUGUGCUAAGGAACUUCGAAAUGGAGGAAUUGAAGCUGUUUUUCUUGAAAAACCAAUUGCCAAAUUAUUCCUUGCUAGAUUCUGCUGGGGCUUUGCCAUAGCUGGACCAUCUUUCAAAGUAGGAGGCUUUGCAUUUGCAUUUGCAAAGGGCUCUCCGCUACUUCAUGAAGUAACAGAAGCACUAGUGAAAGUAACAGAGAGUGGUGAGCUUCAAGAACUAGAAAAAGCAAUGAUUGGUUCUCAAAAGUGUGUAGUAAAUCAAGAGGAAUCAUCAGAAUUAGAAGAUGAGACAUUCAGCCUAAGCCCCAGCAGCUUUUGGAUGCUUUUCAUAAUAACUGGAGGCACAUCAACACUUGCUCUCCUCAUUUAUGUUUUUUACUACAAGCAUAAAAUUCAAGAAUUUGGCCUUGUCCAUGGAAUCGUAUGGAUGCUAAUGUACUUUGACGUAGUGAGGCGUUGGAAGCAUCACGAAAAUCAACUCUCUCGGGCUCAAAGAUUGCAUGCCAAUGACCAUGAAGCUCCAAGUCCAAGAAAUUCUUCAACCACUGCUUCAAGAAUUGUGAACUCAAGUUUAGCUAUCGACUCCAUGCCAUAGAUCAG
rnacentral:misc_RNA from 1 species